rnacentral:rRNA from 1 species
GACGUAGGGCGCGAGCGUUGUCCGGAUUUAUUGGGCGUAAAGAGCUCGUAGGCGGCUUGUCGCGUCGAAUGUGAAAAUCUCAGGGCUCAACUCUGACAUUGCAUUCGAUACGGGCAGGCUCGAGUUCGGUAGGGGAGACUGGAAUUCCUGGUGUAGCGGUGAAAAUGCGCAGAUAUCAGGAGGAACACCGGUGGCGAAGGCGGGUCUCUGGGCCGAUACUGACGCUGAGGAGCGAAAGCGUGGGGAGCGAACAGG